AUGGAGAAAGUCAUAUUUUUCUUCUGUGUGUUUUCAUUUUGGAUUAUGCAAAUCACAUCCAAUGAUGCGUCAGUACGAGGGUCUUUUGAUCUGCUGAGAGUUCAGAAGGGAGAAAACAUCAGUCUGAACUGCAGCAUGAGAAACAGAUAUGAAGUCGCCUGGUAUCACCUCAAUUCUGAAAAACUAGAUCUGUUGAUUUCUGUGAAGAAAGACAUAACUGGAAGAAAUAUCCUGAAGAACUUUGAUCAAAACAGCCCUCGUCUGAAGCUCACUGCAGACACAAGGAUCACCAAAGUCUUUCUAGAGAUUUCUGGAGUAACAGAGUCAGAUGUGGGCAUUUAUUUCUGUGGAACGAAGUCUGAUGCUCCACAGAUGUUCUUCGACAAACCCAUCAGACUAGAGAUCGAGGGUAACAGAUUUUAUUUAUAUAAUUGGAUAUCAGAGUAUUUUUUGUUUGGACGCAGUGAAUUAUUGAUUUUUCUUGAUCUGAAAAAGAAAUUAUAAAGGCCCUCAAAUGUCAUUAUGCAAAAUUUCUGUUGCAUAAAAAACAAAAAGUUACAGAAGCUCAUCUUAACCCACUCUAAAAACAGUUUUGUGUGUGUGUGUGUUUGAUAAUUUGUUAUAUAUUUACAGGUCUUUCUGUAACAGAAGUGCCAAAAGAAGUUGACAUCACAGGUAACACGUUGAUUGUUCAUUUAAUUUUCUAACUCUACUUUGGAGAUCCAACACUAAUUCUAGUUAUCCUGGUUAUACAGAUAAACAAUUCUUCUCUGUCUCUCUGUAGAUGGAGUGACUACGAAAGAGAGGGCGUUGAUGUUCAGUGGUGUUGGUCUGGCUAUUGCAGUGUUUUUUGUGGCUACAGUCAUCGCAGGAGGAAUCAUUCACUAUCGCGGCUGGCAGAAAGGAUGGAGCGCAGCCAAACGCUCAUCUCUGAUUAGUCACAAAUCAGCUAAAUAACACAUUUGUAUGCUUUAUUUUACUGUCUGAGCUUUGCACUGCAAGCUAAACCAGAAAUACUGUAGGUUACUACAAACUAAAAUAGAGAACUGUGUGCCCUAAAUGCUUUUCCUGUUGGCCAGAUCUACUUUCACUUCAGAUAAAACUGAGAUGUUUUGGCAGAUUUCACCUUUUUCAGCCCCAGUGAAACAUUAAUUGUUGUGGUUAUUGGGAUCCAGACACUUCCAGUGCGGCGGCAUUGGUAUUCUUCUCUUCAGUUCACCCCUUUCAUUUUCUACAGGGCUCAGGUCAGAGGACAAACUUUGUUCAGUGACCCAUUUUUGUGUUGAUUUUGAUGUUUGUUUUUGGAUCAUUUUCCUGUUGGAAGAUCAAACCUUGUUCCAUUAUAAUAUUUCUAGCAGGGACAGUCAGGUUUUGAUUUUUUUCUAUCUGUUGGUAUUUUUUAUGUGCUGCUAAAAUAAGAUGCAAAUAUGAAUUGCUAAUUUUACAGAUUUUUUUAUAUGUAUAUUUAUUUCAUAAUAUGAUUUCCCCCAACUUUCACUUUUAUUUUAACUUCAAUUAAUUUUUUUUUUAAAAUAAUUUGAAUUAAUUUGAAAUAUUUAACUAAAAAAACAAAUGGAUUAACAAUAUUUACCAAUGGAAUAAUUCUGACCACAACUGUACUGUAUAUAGGUUAUCAGAGUAAAUUUUUAAUCACAAUCAUAUACUGCAAAACAAAGGCGAUUUUUUUUCUUGUUCUGAAAAACUAAUUAUAAAGCCCUUGAAAAUGUCAUUAUGCAUCAUUUCUGUAUUCUGUUGCAUAAACAACAACUUAAAAGCACCAAAAGCUCAUCUUAACCCACUCUCCCAUAUACAACUAACAACUAAAAACAUUUUGUGUGUGUGUGUGUGUGUGUGUGUGUGUGUGUUUGAUAAACUGAUCAUAUAUUUACAGGUCUUUCUGUAACAGAAAAGCCAAAAGAAGUUGACACCACAGGUAACACGUUUAAUUAACUCACUUAAUUUUUCAUGUUCUAACUCUGCUGUAGAGAUCCAGCACCAAUUCUAGUUAUCAGUAAACACUUUUCUAGUUGUACAAAUCUGAAUAUUUCUUCUGUGUCUGUCUCUCUGUAGAUGGAGAGACUACGAACAAUAGGGCAUUGAUGCUCGGUGGUGUUGGUCUGGCUAUUGCAGUGUUUUUUCUGGCUACAGUCAUCGCAGGAGGAAUCAUUCACUAUCGCGGCUGGCAGAAAGGAUGGAGCGCAGCCAAACGCUCAGCUCUGAUUCGUCACAAUUCAGCUAAAUAACACAUUUGUCUGCUUUAUUUUACUGUCUGAGCUUUGCACUGCCAGCUAAACCUGAGUUACUGUAGAUUACUACAAACUAAAAUAGACAACUGUGUGCCCUAAAUGCCCAAAUGUUGACCAGAUCUACUUUCACUUCAGAGAAACUGAGAUGUUUUGGCAGAUUUCACCUUUUUCAGCCCCAGUGAAACAUUAAUUGUUGUGGUUAUUAUUCAGGUUUGUGCAGUUAAUUUGUGCUUGUUAAUAAUAUUCAGUUUAAGUGCUGUUACUGCUACUGUUUUUAAUGCAACAUAAUUCAAUGUCAAUACACAAUAUUCAAGCUAGAGUAGCAUGUCUUAAGCAUUUUUACUGUAAUACAGAGAUUGAGCCAAAGUCCUUAUUAAAAAAAAAAACAGCAGCCGUCGUCUGUCACAGCCAAUAUAUAUGCUUUAAAAUCAUUAAACCAGCAGGACUUGUGUUAAAAUAGUGUCUGGCUGCAUCUUUAGACAUGAUAUAUUUAUCUAGACUAGUAUUAAUACGUGCAUGUAAGCUGUUUUCAAGAGACAAUAUAAAUGUGAAUCUCUUCUAUGGCACAUAAAUCUUGAUUUAAUUAAACUGAUGUCUUAAUGUUAAAUGUAUUAUUUAGAGUUCAAAUAAACAGCAGUAAAACUGUGAAACUGUGUGUUUG
ensembl:lncRNA